rnacentral:rRNA from 1 species
CAGCCGCCGCGGUAAUACGGAGGGUGCAAGCGUUAAUCGGAAUUACUGGGCGUAAAGCGUGCGUAGGCGGUUCGUUAAGUCUGUUGUGAAAGCCCCGGGCUCAACCUGGGAAUGGCAGUGGAUACUGGCUCGCUAGAGUGUGUCAGAGGAUGGUGGAAUUCCCGGUGUAGCGGUGAAAUGCGUAGAGAUCGGGAGGAACAUCAGUGGCGAAGGCGGCCAUCUGGGACAACACUGACGCUGAGGCACGAAAGCGCGGGGAGCAAACAGGAUUAGAUACCCCUGUAGUCCCUGUCUCUUAUAC